GACCCCUUGUUGAAGGUUGAGGAAGCGAGUUUAAGUAAGGCACUUUCUCAGUCGCCUACACUCACUGGGUCCUUCAUUCCUCCUGACUGUCCACGUGGAGACGAUAAAACGAGUGUCAUCGCGCGCUCUUAAAGUGCUAGAGACGGCUUGAUUGUGAAGCAUGUAGCAUUACAUCGAAAGCAGCAGGAAAUGGCUGGUGCACCGUGUCACGUGUUGACCCCACGAGGACCAGUAAAAACGUGCUUCUGAGCUCCAGGUGAGCAGGCCUGCAGUGAAAGGCUGCAGCAGCACCGUGGACAGCGUUACUUGACACCUGGGUUUCUAUUCACCAAGGAGCGAUCCUUUCUAGUGGAGGUAAAUACCCAGCAUUCAAGGACUAGUGGUGUGUGUGAGAUGCUGUUUUCUGCGUAUGUGAAUCUGCACUACAUUCUUUCAGAAAUAAAACCUUCUGCUUAAC